CACACACGCACACACAAAGGGUGUGGUGACUAUUGCUUACAUGUUUCCACAGACAUUAAAAGAGGCCUUGGUGAGUUCAUGGAAGGAAUGAUGAUGCAAUUCUCAAUACAAAACAAUAGCAUUGACUUUCACGUCAGGGUUGGGUCCGACUCAGCACGUUUCUCCGGAUGCUUCAAGCGUACGUUUGCUAUAAGUCACAACAGGUUUCUUCAUGGACUGACCACACAGAGCCUCUUUUGGAAAACAGAAUGAAGUUAUCCAGGACACGCCACUUGAUCUGAUCGGCGAGCUCACCUAUGCAUAUUUCAUCAUCCGUCUCGGCGUCCCCGAUGCACUGGAAUUUAAAGUCGUUGAGAGAGUCGGCGAAUUUCCUCUUGGCCGUAGACAAACCUGACGUGAAAGAGAAGAGAUAAGUGAGAUCAUGCGGACAAGCUCUGUAGAAAAAUAGGUUAAGUCUCGCUAAUAACGGUGAUGAAUACCUCCUUGGAGGAAGCUGGAAUAAAAUCCUAGAAGGGGAUAUGGGUGAUAUUUAACGGCCUUCAUCAGUCAAAGUCAAAACAAAGGGGCAGAUCACCCUGGGAGUCAUCCAUCAGUAACACUCAUGGUAAGUGCAAAAAAUUCCAUUCAAGGGAUUUUGGGCAACACAUUUUGACUUGAGUUUCCCCUCCAUGAAAGUCAGGACGAGGUCACCUUCCUGCCUGACAGGAAUCAACAUAAAUGAUAAAAAUCCGUGCGAGCCAGGAUGCUUUUUUGUGUCACAAUGACAUUUGAUCGCAGCUAUAAAAACAAACGUACCUUUUUUUAAAAAAACAACUUUUGAUGUGAUAUUGAAACCGUAUAACACAGCUUGCUUGAAAGCAAAUGUGGGCAAGUCAUCCAUGUGUUACUAACUAAGUGAUUCAUCGAGCCGGUGGAUGCGCAGCUGACAAUGACAGUGUUAGGUUACCAAACGACAGCAAAAAAAACAAAACUCACUUGUUAAUAAUUCAUGGAAAAUGACUUUCAGGAAAGCUACAUUUAUCACCAGCUGCUGUUAUCGCCAAAAAUCCACAUAUUUUUUUAUAGCAUGCCAAACGGCUUUUUGCUAUACUGCACAAUAUAAAAUCGAGACGGCCAUAACGUUCUAAACUAAUGAGAAUAUGGAGUACAGCAUAUUUCAGGUAAAAACGUUUUGGGUGGCCUCCUCUGAUGUAAUGCACGUCCAAACACACAAUACAUCUUCUUUCUCCACUCCCCCAGCUUACUGCCGGCUUUCUUAUUUUUGGCCCGUAUCUCAAACUGCUUCAUCUUCUGCUUCCUGUCAGUGACAGCUCCUCUCAGCUCCAUGAGAGCAGAGCGUGCCUCCACUCCCCCCACCCCUUCUUCUUCUUCUUCAGCCACGCAGUAGCCAUUUAAAAAAUAUUCUCAGAUAACACUUCAAGCGAUGCUAAAUAAGCUUGCCAAAAUAACACAACUCAUGAUAUUAUUGAAUCCAAACCCAUUUCACAGUGCCAAUAAAAACAUAGCCUUAUUUUUUGUAUAAAUAAGUCCAUUCUGAAACUUUCUGCUUCUGUGUCACUGUGUGAUUGUACGAUAUUCCAGAAUAUCUCAAGGCUCAGCUGUGAUUUACGACUUUGUUGUGCUCUGCGGCCCAGAUUGCAUCACUCGACGACGCUGGAAAAAUAGCGUGCACUUGUUGUUUUAGCUGAUGCCGCCGUAUCAAUUACUGGUGCAUGGAAAUGUAAAUAAAGCUCAUCUGUCAUAGCCCUCAUGAUAAAGGGCCAAAGAUUUCCAAAUUGAAAAACAGAAUGUUGGCUGUGAGUCUGCUUAACACAAUCUAAACAAAUUAUAGUAUCGUUCAAGAUUGCAUAACUACAGAUUUUUUAUCUUAGUGCACAGACAGUCAGUAGUCGCCUAAUGUCAAGUCUGACGCCACUCUAAAGUCGAGUCUGACAUCGUAUUAAUAAAUAGCGUAACACUGAGACACAACAGCGACAACAAAAGAGCAAGGCUCUCUGGGUUUUAUUUCUCAAUUCAUUUUAUGGCUGAUGGCGACAAGAAAAGGUCACCACCAGACUUCCAUGAUGUUCCACUCAUGUCAGAUUGUAACGACAAAUAUUCACAACUGCAAGCACGGGAGUCCAUUUGUCCAAAAAAAAAAAAGACAUGUGAAGGACAUUUGAGUGGCUGGAAUGAGCCCACACAGAGAGCUCUAUACACGGCACAAAAGGAACUGUGAUGUCAAGCUGUGGCUGGAACUCUGCUGCAUCUUUGUCCCACAAGAAUGGGAAUGAAUGGAUACAGACCCACACUCAUACACCCGGCAACUAAGAAGAACACAAAACGGGGAAGGUUGCAGUUGAGUAGGCAAAAAGUUUCCCUUUUGAACUCUUAAUUCGGAGCUAAGUGUGCGUGACCGGACCCGCAUUUGACUUUAGAAGGGUUGAAAUGUACGUCAUGGAGCCUUGUAUAGUUCCUGUGAAACAAGUGAAAAUGCCCAUUGCGUCCAUCAUUUGAUGGCUUCUUCCUCCCAACCUUUCAACAAGAUUCAUGACAAUCUGCUCGCAAACAGGAAACAACGGACGGAAAGCAUCGGCGGAUGACGUGAUGGUUUCAAGCCACAGCAUGUGUCCAGCUGACCUUUGAAUAACAGGUUCAAACUCAUUUGGGUGGGUCUGAACUUGCCGUUUUCUUUUCUUAUUUUUGAUCAGACAUUAAAAGCAGGACUGAACUAUUCAGCAAAAAUAAUCUAAUUGUGAUUCUACUCU